UCCAAACCCAAAAAGGCCCAACUCUGUUGUCAAAGUGUUCCACCCGCCAACUUCCUCAAACAAACAACGCCUUAAACCCUGCGAAUUUGGCUGUGAACGUCUUCCUCAUACUCUCUAAAACAGUAUAGUAGUAUUUUUUUUAUGGCGGAAAUGGAUAUUAAUGGGCAAGUCGAAGAGGCUGCAAGGCGUGUACAGGUCCGGUUCGUAACGAAGUUGAAACCCCCAUUUAAGGCCCCGCCUACUUCCAUUGCUAUUCCCUCCAACCUCACCCGAUUGGGCCUCUCUUCCAUUGUCAACAACCUCCUUAAAGCUGGAAAGGAUGAUUGGAAUCCCGAGCCUUUCGAUUUUCUCAUUGAUGGAGAACUGGUUCGCAUGUCACUUGAAGAGUUUCUCCUUGCCAAGGGCAUUUCAGCUGAGAAAAUAUUAGAGAUUGAGUACAUUAGAGCUGUGGCUCCAAGAAAACAAGAAGAACCAUCUUUGCAUGACGACUGGGUCAGUGCAGUUGAUGGUUCUAAUUCUAAGUUUGUUUUGACUGGAUGUUAUGAUGGCUUAGGAAGAAUAUGGAAGGCUGCCGGAUCUUGUACACAUCUAUUGGAGGGCCAUACUGGGGCAGUUACUUCUGUUUGUGUUGUCAACCCAAGAGUGGCUCAAGAUGGUGCUGAUCAAAUAGUCGCUACGGCUUCCAAGGAUAGGACACUGCGGCUCUGGAAGUUUGAUGCAGAUGAGCCUUCAGAUCAGAUAAAUAGGAUUAGAGCCUAUAAAAUUUUACAUGGACAUAAUGCUUCUGUUCAAAGUGUUGCAGCAAAUCCUGCUGGAGAUAUGGUGUGUUCAGGGUCCUGGGAUUGCCAAAUAGCUCUGUGGCAAGCAAGUGGCUCAGAUACAGGUGAUGUAGUUUCAGUGAAGAAAAGGAAGAAGGGUGCCGAAGAGGAGGAUCCUCAAGUAGAAGAGGAGGCUAAAUCUACACUUGUAGGACAUUCACAAUGUGUGUCUACCGUGGUGUGGCCACAAGAUGAAGCAAUAUAUUCAGCAUCAUGGGAUCACUCUAUUAGAAGAUGGGAUGUUGAGUUGGGCAAGGAUUCAUUGAGCCUGGUGACAUGCCAUCUCUUUUCUUCUGUUCUUCCAGUCACAUCUUUACUGUCAUGUGCAUGUUUUCCUAAACUUACAUACAUAUGGAUUGGAGGGGGAGAAGUAAAUAUCAACUUGCUGAAUAUGAAAUUAUGAAAAAAUUGUGGAAGGUGUAGCACUCAAAUAUGCCAAUCCUAGUGAUAUUGCUUUCAUUUUUUGUCAGAGAUAACAUUUCUCUUCAGCAGUUAACAAUCAUAUUUUUAAAAAUUACACCAUCUUGAAAAAAAAGAUACCUCCCCAUCAUGACAAGUAGCUGGGUUUGAACUUUGUAUUGCGACAAAGUCAUUAAUUGCCUUGAUGUUGGAGGUGAAGGUUCUGCCCUCAUUGCUGCUGGUGGUUCUGACCCCAUUCUUAGGAUAUGGGAUCCUCGCAAACCAGGUACUUCGGCUCCUGUCUAUCAGUUCUCAUCGCACAGUUCUUGGAUAUCCACCUGCAAGUGGCAUGAAAAGUCACGGUUUCACUUGCUUUCUGCAUCGUAUGAUGG